rnacentral:rRNA from 1 species
UACGAAGGGGGCUAGCGUUGUUCGGAAUUACUGGGCGUAAAGCGCGCGCAGGCGGUCUUCCAAGUCAGUGGUGAAAGCCUGGAGCUCAACUCCAGAACUGCCAUUGAAACUGUUAGACUUGAGUACGAGAGAGGUGAGUGGAAUUCCCAGUGUAGAGGUGAAAUUCGUAGAUAUCGGGAGGAACACCGGUGGCGAAGGCGGCGAUCUGGGUCGAUACUGACGCUGAGGUGCGAAAGCGUGGGGAGCAAACAGG